rnacentral:rRNA from 1 species
AUUGAACGCUGGCGGCAGGCCUAACACAUGCAAGUCGAACGAGUGGCGGACGGGUGAGUAAUGUCUGGGAAACUGCCCGAUGGAGGGGGAUCACUACUGGAAACGGUCGCUAAUACCGCAUACCAUCAGAUGUGCCCAGAUGGGAUGAGCUAGUGGGGGGGGUAACGGCUCACCUAGGCGACUAUCCCUCGCUGGUCUGAGAGGAUGACCAGCCACACUGGAACUGAGACACGGCCCAGACUCCUACGGGAGGCAGCAGUGGGGAAUAUUGCACAAUGGGCGCAAGCCUGAUGCAGCCAUGCCGCGUGUAUGAAGAAGGCCUUCGGGUUGUAAAGUACUUUCAGCGAGGAGGCGUUACUCACAGAAGAAGCACCGGCUAACUCCGUGCCAGCAGCCGCGGUAAUUC